AUUAAUUAGAAUAGAUGGCAAUUUCAAUGGUAUGUGCCUUUUUGGAGCAGCUUAUCUCGCGUUUAUUAUGUCUUUGUGCUAGUUUAGAUGCAAUAGUAGUAGGAGGGGGUAGCAUAGGAGGCACACCUCCCCCUUGCCACCGUCAAGGCCGAAACCUGGCGAGAGGGAGACAUGCAUGAGCGGGUCGGGGCAGAAAGCACAAGGCUGCACUUUAGCAUCUUCAUCGGCACCUCGUUGGGGUCGUCCACCCAUGCCCUGACAACAAAGUACGAGAGGUCGAGCCUGUCGAAGGAUUCAAUGGCCAUAUGGUAGAUUAGGCAUUCGGGCAACAGUUCUUGGGCGGUUUGAGGCGAGAACUCCCGCAGGGGAUGCGUUGGAUGGACAACCCAACGCUGUAGCAGCAUUGAACCGAUGUGGCGAAGGUUAUCUUGUUCGACCGCCACACUAGGAGCAGCGUGCCGCGGUAGUGUACUGCGUCCACCCCACGAACCAUGUCGAACCACCGGUAGUGCGUGAAGCUAGCGAAGAAAGAUCCUAGCUGCAUGAGAGAGACCUGAAAGCCGUUUGUUCGAAAGCUCCGGGAAGUCGUCCUUGAUGCCCUCAACAAUUUUUACCAGGAUUAGAGACGACCUCGUACCCGCCACCAUGAGCACCAGCGCCAAAUCCCAUAGGUAAGAACAUAUCCUCGAUGAGGCACCUCGUCUUGCGCGAGCGGGUGUUGCCCCUCGCUGGGUCGUACGCGAACCUAGCCGACAUGGAAGGCUCCAGCGACGAAGGGGCGGGUGGCUCCUUGUCGGGAAAGGUGAACCUGGAAUGAGUCGGCGAUUCGGGUGGUCGAGGGGUUGGGGGGACCAGCCUGGAUUGGACUGACUAGCGGAGGCGGCGGGGGUGGCAGCUGCACUCACGGCCUUGGCGGUGGUCAAGGCGGGGCUAAGAGUAGUGAUGGACUCAUUAGCGGCGGCCAGGUCAUCAUGGCGGCGCGUGAAGUUCCUUCUGAAGCACAUCCUCUAGCCCAAGUGGUACAUUUGUUCAUUUGUGAUAUGUUCUGUUAGUGUUAUGUUCUCGUUGUCUCUUGCUCUGUUUCUCUUGCCCAUAGGUACAUUUGUUCAUUUUCGUAGACCUGCUAUGUUCUAUUGUAAUUCGAGUUCAAAUGUCAAGUUGCGCCGCCACAAAAUGCUGCUACUUUAACUUCUGUAAGCGCAGCGAGCAGCGUAGGCAGCCGCUGCAGCUGCUCACAUGGAACGUAUGCCUUGUUGCAGCCUCGCAGCUUAACAUUCGACACUUCCUUCAAAGGGGUCCUUCAGCCUCCAAGGAGAAGGGAAGUGAUGUCUGACAGGGAAAGAAACUAGGCGAAGCUCUGGAUGCUCGAUCGAGUACGCACCCAAUUAGCACUCUACUUCGUCGGUUGUCCACUGAAAUUUGCUCCAUGACAUCUUGCUUGCCAUGUGGUCACCUUACCUCAAAUUUGCUCCAUGACAUCUUGCUUGCCAUGUGGUCACCUUACCUCAAAAUUGACAUAUUAUAAUCUAUGAACUACUACAAGUAAACUAUACAACCAAAUGAUUGUUCCAAAAAUUCAAAUUUGCACCAUGCUUUCCACCUGAUCUGCCAGUUUAACUAUCUUAAUUGUACCGCAGACAUUUGAUGUGUGGUAGUACGUGUGUGAUGAAUCAUGGUGUAGUAGCAAACUACCAACUGAAUGUUUUGACAUACAAUGGAUUUCUUUCUGCCUCUAUUUGAUGCUCGGUGGUGCUGAUCUGAAGGUCCGUGCGGACCCUGCUCUGGACAUAUGUCUCCUUAAUUUCCGUGUGCAAUUGUGCAAUCCAUGCUUUACACUUUAAAAUGAGACAAUAAAAUUUAGCUCAUGUUGCCCUUCCAUCAUGCACCCAGAAUAUAUUACCUUUCUGCUUUUUAUAUUUUGGUUGGGCAUGUUUCAUGAUCAGAGGAUUGAUGAUUUGUUAUGCUAGACAAUGGAAAUAAGAUUUGGUGGAAAACAAAUGAUAUGAUAGGUGAUUUAUGAUGUACUACUAUUUUAGAUAAUAAUACUAAGCUUUUAUUUGGUUGUUCUGCAUUUUUUCCCUUUGCAAAGAUAGAUAUUAUAAGAGAUAAACAUCAUGUACAGGUUAACUUUUUAUGUGCCUAUUAGUAUGCCUUGCUGCCAGGUGGAAAUAGUCUAUAUGAUGCUCAUAAAUAGAGCUUCCUGGUGGGAAGGAUGAGGCACACUCAUUGAUACUUUGGUUUUAUGUCCAUUUGUUAUACAGUUUUUCUCUUCCAAGCAUAUAAACUUUAGCAAAUUAGAGUGUGCAAUCAAGUCUCCUAAGUGAACAGUUUUACCAUAUUAUCAAGUUUGAGGGCAUAUACGACACGAGCAUAUAAGAUAAGAGCAUGUCAUGCUACAUGAAAAUCUGCCUGGAGAUCUAAUUUCGUAUUUUUUUCUAUUUUGUCGGUUAGAAAACCAGUUUCCUGAGUUGUUAGUCUGAGUAUUCAAAUUGAUCCGCAGAGUUCAGGGCUUCUGGAUGGAAGAGUUUCCUACAACGUCAAAAUCUUAGUACUCUCUACAUAGAUUUCGUAAUUUUGCCCGACUUUUUCUGAAGAAUUGUUGAAGUAUCUUUUAUUUGGGUUGGUUGUGCAUUUGCAGUGUUGGAGGUGUUAGUGCAAGAUUGUAGAGUUGGAAAGUAUAGUACAACGUCAAGUCGGUGCAGGGACUUGGUGAAGUCAUCAGCCUCGACUGUGUCUACUUCCCCGAUGGUUUUGACUUCUGACUAGUGAUUCUGAUGCAUAUUACUUGAUGAUUUGGUCUUUGUGGCAGCUUUCAGUUUGAUUUGGCAUUCAGUGGCUUCAUCCUCUUUGGUGCAGCCUGGAGUUAGUAGUGUGCACAUCUGAAUCUCUUGACUUUUUCCUGAAGAUUACGUGGUUUAUGGUGUCUGCUAACUUGCAUGCGGUUUUGAUGGAAUCUGAUCUCGUUUUUAGCUCCCAGUAUAUACAAAAGGCUAGAAGUAAAUGAUGGAAGAUCCUUUUGCUCAAACGAGGGUCCUACUUUCAUACCCAAAGUUUGUAUAGUAGAUAAUCAAAUUUUGGCCUUUAGCUUGCAAAUGUAUCACCUUAUAGAAGUAAAGGUUGCAUCUACAUGAGCUCUGAUUAUCUCCAUAUAUACUUGAAUUGCUUUGGGGUCACGCUUGGAUUUAUCAGACUACCAUUCUACAUACUGUUCUCGAUGAUUGCAUUUGGUUUGUUAAUUUAUGUACCUUAUGUCAAAAAACAUUAUCCAAAAUUAGUUUUUGGUAUACGCAGACUUUGAAAUUUGUUGAUAAAGAAAGAUCACGCCUAAUUUGCUCGCUCUCUGUUGACACUUAACCUGGCCUCCUGACUUUGUAGUUGGAUAAUGUUGAUGACUCGAUAUGCGGAGAGAGGUUAGGAAUUGUUGCUAUGGAUUAAAACAAUGCAGAGUUGAAGGUUCUGAACUGGGAACUUGAACAAAUAGUUUGCCUACCUUUCUUGUGGAAUUGAUUUUUUAGAAGUGAAUGUUCUUCUGGUUGGUGCUUCUUCAGUGGGAUCUGGACCAUGGAAUCUUCAAUUGCAUCUGCUUGGUUCACUGGGAAUUUCCUAGUUUUAAUUUGAUUGACAACUAGCAAAACAGUCCGGCUAAUUUGAUGAUUAAUUCCUGCUGAUUGUACACUUUCAACUCAAGUUCCUGCUGAUUCUACACUUUCAACCCAAGUUACAUUGUACCAUACGCCAGUUUGUUUCAUACCUCGUCCAUCCUGGAUUUUUAGACGCAAAGCAUCUGGAUUUUAAAACAAGAAAUAACAUGUCUUUAACAAAAUUAUUCACACAAAGAUCAUGCCCAAGAUUGAAUCUCUCAUCUUUAAAAUAAAUUUGGACAGCAGGGAUCUCUCAUCUUUACAGUAAAUUUGGACAGCAGGGAUCUCUCAUCUUUACAGUAAAUUUGGAUAGCAGGGAUGAUCAGUAGAAAAGCUAUGAUAGCAAGGAAGUGGUGUUUCUGAACUCGAGCACACAUGUGCUCUUUAUCUGGGCGGUUCGUCAUAGCAUUGGGAUGCGGUGCAUUUACUUUCUGCGUCAGGCUGUUGUUCACUGGAAAAGGGGGAAAUGCAGAAAUACGGCCGACGGGUAUCUUGUAUGGUGGGCCAGGUUUGUGGCGGAGGAGCACCUCCUUUAACGAUUCAAAACAGGGUCGUGGCUCAUGCCGUCAUUCCCGUCCUGAUCCGUGGAUCAGGUUUAGGGCCUCAGUAGCCGAAUAAAUGGAGGGAUGGGUUGCUGGGCAGAGUUCUCUCCUACCUCCGGCUCCUGGUUUUUCCUAUUAUCGAGUGGGGCUAGAUGGGCGGCGGAGCUUCUAUUCGAAGGAAACAAAGGCUAGCGCAGAAGAUGGAAUUUCUGAUGCAAUUGAUUAAAAGAACCACCAUGCUGGAGGACGUUAACGAUGGCAAUGUACUCAUGGAGCCACUACACUGCCAGUGGUCGCAACCGUUGCAGAUCCGCUGCCGCCCAUGGCGGCAGUGAGUGCGGAAGGCCAGAUCUGUGCGGCUGAUGGCGUGGUCGAUACUGAAAUCGAUGGUUUACUGCAAGCAUCUGAGCAGUCGAUUACUCGAUUUGUUAGAUCGACCCAAAAGCCCCAGCAUGGACUCGAAGUGGGGAUCGGUGCUGCCGCACCAGGAAGGUCACCUUGUCCUAAUCGCACUAGUGCACUGGAGAAGGCAAUUCAUGGUUUUGCGGAAAAUCCAGGAGAUGAUGUGAUUGUCCCUGCACUAGGAACAAGCUUUGAUUGUUUGAGUGAAGCCUUCGACUAUUGCCAUGGGACUUCGAUUCUUUUGGGUGAAGCAUAUGACUUUUACAAGCUUCGGUUCUUUGACAAAUCUAUAUUUUAGUAAUCCUCCUUAUUUUCUGAAACUGAUGUAUGGUGGUAUGAUGUACAUUGAAAUGGAUUUCUAAAGUGACAGUAAAUUAGACAACUAUUUUACGAUGUGUAGCCAAAAGCCAAAAGGAUAAUUGCACUAUUAUCAGAAUCAAAUA